rnacentral:tRNA from 1 species
AGCAAUAAUAGCUCAAGAGUAGAGCGUUGGUCUUGUAAACCAAAAGCUAAGUAAUAUGUACUUUUAUUGCUU